AUCACACGGUUUUGGUUAAUUAUAGGCCCAUUUCCAAGCUGUCUUUUCUUUCUAAGGUUUUAGAGAAAAUUGUUUUUUGUCAGUUGAAGCAGUUUUUAGAUGAGAAUGGCAUCAUGGAGGUUU